ensembl:lncRNA
CGUGGCGUUUGUUGAAGUGGCGUUUGUUGAAGUGGCGUUUGUUGAAGUGGCGUUUGUUGAAGUGGCGUUUGUAGACGUGGCGUUUGUUGACGUGGCGUUUGUUGAAGUGGCGUUUGUUGACGUGGCGUUUGUAGACGUGGCGUUUGUUGAAGUGGCGUUUGUUGACGUGGCGUUUGUUGAAGUGGCGUUUGUUGAAGUGGCGUUUGUUGAAGUGGCGUUUGUUGACGUGGCGUUUGUUGAAGUGGCGUUUGUUGAAGUGGCGUUUGUUGAAGUGGCGUUUGUUGACGUGGCGUUUGUAGACGUGGCGUUUGUUGACGUGGCGUUUGUUGAAGUGGCGUUUGUAGACGUGGCGUUUGUUGAAGUGGCGUUUGUUGACGUGGCGUUUGUUGACGUGGCGUUUGUUGAAGUGGCGUUUGUUGAAGUGGCGUUUGUUGACGUGGCGUUUGUUGAAGUGGCGUUUGUUGAAUGGGCGUUUGUUGAAGUGGCGUUUGUUGACGUGGCGUUUGUUGAAGUGGCGUUUGUAGACGUGGCGUUUGUUGAAGUGGCGUUUGUUGAAGUGGCGUUUGUUGACGUGGCGUUUGUUGACGUGGCGUUUGGUAGACGUGGCGUUU